rnacentral:rRNA from 1 species
AUUGAACGCUGGCGGCAGGCCUAACACAUGCAAGUCGAGCGGAUGAAGGGAGCUUGCUCCUGGAUUCAGCGGCGGACGGGUGAGUAAUGCCUAGGAAUCUGCCUGGUUGUGGGGGAUAACGUCCGGAAACGGGCGCUAAUACCGCAUACGUCCUGAGGGAGAAAGUGGGGGAUCUUCGGACCUCACGCUAUCAGAUGAGCCUAGGUCGGAUUAGCUAGUUGGUGGGGUAAAGGCCUACCAAGGCGACGAUCCGUAACUGGUCUGAGAGGAUGAUCAGUCACACUGGAACUGAGACACGGUCCAGACUCCUACGGGAGGCAGCAGUGGGGAAUAUUGGACAAUGGGCGAAAGCCUGAUCCAGCCAUGCCGCGUGUGUGAAGAAGGUCUUCGGAUUGUAAAGCACUUUUAGUUGGGAAGAAGGGCAGUAAGUUAAUACCUUGCUGUUUUGACGGUACCAAAAGGAUAAGCACCGGCUAACUUCGUG